UACGAAGGGGGCUAGCGUUGUUCGGAAUUACUGGGCGUAAAGCGCACGUAGGCGGGUUAUUAAGUCAGAUGUGAAAUCCCAAGGCUCAACCUUGGAACUGCAUUUGAAACUGAUAGCCUAGAGAUCAGGAGAGGUUAGCGGAAUACCGAGUGUAGAGGUGAAAUUCGUAGAUAUUCGGUGGAACACCAGUGGCGAAGGCGGCUAACUGGACUGAUACUGACGCUGAGGUGCGAAAGUGUGGGGAGCAAACAGG
rnacentral:rRNA from 1 species